rnacentral:rRNA from 1 species
GGGCACCUGCCUGUAAGACUGGGAUAACUCCGGGAAACCGGGGCUAAUACCGGAUAAUUCUUUCCCUCACAUGAGGGAAAGCUGAAAGAUGGUUUCGGCUAUCACUUACAGAUGGGCCCGCGGCGCAUUAGCUAGUUGGUGAGGUAACGGCUCACCAAGGCAACGAUGCGUAGCCGACCUGAGAGGGUGAUCGGCCACACUGGGACUGAGACACGGCCCAGACUCCUACGGGAGGCAGCAGUAGGGAAUCUUCCGCAAUGGACGAAAGUCUGACGGAGCAACGCCGCGUGAGUGAUGAAGGUUUUCGGAUCGUAAAACUCUGUUGUUAGGGAAGAACAAGUACCGGAGUAACUG